rnacentral:rRNA from 1 species
GUAAUCACUUGUCUUCUAAAUAAAGACCUGUAUGAAUGGCUAAAUGAGGACAAACCUGUCUCUUAUAACCAAUCAGUGAAACUGAUCUGCCCGUACAAAAGCUGGCAUAAACACAUAAGACGAGAAGACCCUGUGGAGCUUAAAACAAACCACUAACAAUUUAGUGUAAUGUCUUAAGUUGGGGCGACUUCGGAACAAAACAGAACUUCCGAGCAGAGAUCCACAACAUCUUACUCAGGCCAACAAGCCUAAGUAUAACACCGACCCGGCCAUGCCGAUCAACGAACCAAGUUACCCCAGGGAUAACAGCGCCAUCUUCUUCAAGAGUCCAUAUCGACAAGAAGGUUUACGACCUCGAUGUUGGAUCAGGACACCCAGGCGGUGCAGCCGCUGCCAACGGUUCGUUUGUUCAACGACUAACGUC